CCCUUCUGAAAAUAACUGACACAUUUGCAUCCUAUUGGCUAUUUAAAUAUAAAAUGACCAAAAAUAGUAUCUAUGAUGAUAGGAGUCCCUAAAUAUUUGCAUAAAUACCCAUCACUCCGUGUCAAAUUGUAACUGAGGCUGCGAAAAGGAAGCACACAAAUCGACGCCAUUUUUCAACAGAUUAAGGUUUCUGAGCUCACGAAAUCCUAGUAUUAUUACUUUUAAUGAUAACAAUAGGAAUAAGAAGAGCAGGAUUUCUAUAUUGAGGAUUUACAUGUAUGGGACAGAGGACUAUUUGGCUUGAUUUUACUUUAAAAAACUUUUUAAUUUUAACAAUAGUUCUCCUUAAUUGUUUAAAAUACUUUUUACAUAUUUUUCAUUUUAACAUUAUUUUUAUGACUUUGUAUUUAUUCAUCACUUAAUAAACUUUUAUUUCUAAACAUUUUUAUAUUUUCAAAUAUACAUACAAUGUGAAACACUCCACCAUUUUAUAUUGAUAACGUGGGGUAAAUGUACAUGAGACACUAAACUGUUGCAAUACAAUAUUACUUAAUGUCAUUGAAAAACCUGAGAUUCAUUGAUGCAAAGCUAGCAUAUUCAUA